CACAAAUCACGAUGAAAACAUUCACAGAAUCAUAAAAACACAGUGCUGAAACGUUCUGUCUCUUCUGAGCAGGCAGAGGCCUUCAGCAGCCCUGAAAACUGACAAGCAGUGCAAACAGGGUGUGUUCUUCACUUUUAAAGAUACCAAGGCUAUCACGCAGCACUUCACCUUUGAAAGAAAGGCAAUCCAGAAGAGCUAUUUACCUUGCAUAAUCUCUUCACAUACUUGUUAUUUUUCUCCCUAGGCUGUGCUCAGCAUGUUCCUUUCAUACACCCUUUAGGAUUUUUUCCUGCACAGAUUCCACAGCAGCCUUUUGAACCACUUUUAGCCUUCCCGUAACACAUCACCUUUUGCAGAAAGGUGGGAUUAUUCUCAUUCUACAGCUAUGCACAGUAAGCAAACCCAGAAGAAAAGCUUUCUGUUGGUUUGGUUUACUUAGUUCUGUUUUGUUUUUCAAAUAACCAUGGUUUCUUUAUCAAAACAUAUAUCCUCCUGAUGAUUUAUAUACCAUCUUCUUCUGCUGAGUGAAAAUACCCCUUCCUACAACAAAUGGAAAUAAGUUAUUUCUCCACAGCGUUUGUGUAGUUCUGUUCCUGUUUUCUAAAUUGGGAUCUUUCAUUCUCCUCCCUCUCACUCUCUUUGGAAAAGCAGAGAAGUCAAAAAUCCCAACAUUUGAACACCUGAACUUUUAUUUUUCCCCGUGUUGUUUGGGAAAGCAGAAAACAAAUAAACAGUCAUCCUGGUAUACUAUGCAAACAAUCUUGAGAGGUCAUCUAAUCCAUCUUGUUAGCAGUAACCAGGAGCUGAAGUACCCUCCACAUUCCUAACGCAUGCUUUGAUCUCCACUUAAGAUGCUGCACCAACUGAGGAGUAUUAGCAGGUAUUAAAUGGACUUUUUGUAUACUUCUGCUCUCCUGCAGUAAUACGGCCUCCCCUCCCACAACUCCAGUAAAUUACAGACAAAACAGGGAACUCCUGGGCAAGCAGCUUAACGCAGAAGUAUUGCAGAUACCUUCCUCUGUGACCCUAAGAAAAAGUAAUCAAACAAGGCAACAAGCUAGAAAGAAGGAACAAAAGGAGAAAAAAAGAAAGAAAAGAACAGAACGAAGGCCUCUAUGUUUUGUGGGGUUCUUUUUAAUACAGUUUUAUUUCACAGUGGGAAGGGGUAGGAGGGAAUGGCAAGGACUGUUUUAUGCUCUUCUGCAUAGUGAUCACCACUAUGUGUGUUGAAAACUACUUCAAUAUGAUGGAUUUGAAUCAUGGGUAAGGAUGAAUCAACAAAGGCUGACAAAUAAAACUUGAUUUGUCAGCGAAACUCAAACAAAAACACUUGUUUUCAGGAAGAAUGUGAUGGCCUUAUCUGCAGGCACUUGCAGAACAGUUCUUGCUCAAAGGUCUGUGCACAGAGCUGACCAUAUCUAUAGGUUUCCACAACCACAAAUACAGCAUUUUACUAGGAAAGCUUUAAUUUGGUGUUUCCCAGUUUCCUCUGGGCAAGAGGCAUCUUACCUGCUUCAGAGUAACACGUAUCAUCUGUUCCAGAACAAAGUCCCAGUGGAAUUAGAGAACCACGUAAGUCAAACACCAAAAAGUUUCUCAACAACCCAAGCAAGAUAGAAGUCUUUCUUACAGUUGGCGUGGCCAAAAGUUACCUGUACUGUUAGUCUGAUUUGGUAGCAGAAGUCUGGGCUGAAAACCAAAGCUCUCAUGAAUUGUAUCUCUCACCUAGGAAGACAGGUGAUUCUGCAGGUACUGUGCUUUCACUUAAGACUCUAUGCUGACAAAAAUCGGAUGGGUUCCCUACACAUGGGAGAGGACAAUGCUUUCCUUAAGAUCGUACUGUUCUCCCACACAAUUUAAUAUCAUGGCCCCCUCUGCUACCUAUCUGUUCAAAAGCUACAUAUUUUUCCACUGUUAGCUGGAUAACGUUCCAUCAGUUUCAAAAGUACACUGGUUUUACCUCUAAGUCCUGCUGCAUUCGUCUGAAAUAUCUUAUCAAAAUAAAAUCAGUUGUAAGUUAGCAUACAUUUAAUGUGGAAGAUCAACCAUAAACAUUAUGGAAUGGUGGCAGCGGAAGCAUUCCAUAGUAGUUGCACACUGUUGUAGUUACUCCGUAGUAGUUGCAUACGUAACCCGUGAAGAUUAAAAUGGCUUCCUCUCCUUCUCAUCCCAGUUUGAAACACCAGGCCCUUUGGAAAGGGAUUGCCAUUAACCAGCAUGGGAAUAGAUCCAACCUCAUGAGUGUUUAUUUUCCACUGAAAGGCAACUUGCCGGAAUCAGAGAAUCACCACGGUUGGAAAAGACCUCCAAGCCCACCUAACCCACUUACCAGCAGUCUUUCUUUACCAAACCACAUCCCUCAGUGCAACAUUUAAACGGCUCCUGAACACCUCCAGGGACGGUGACUCCGCCACCACGCGGUCCCCGCUGAGGUAAAACCGCCAUCAGCUCACAGACGGAGCUCUGUGCCCCCCGUCACCACCGGCACAACCGCAGAACCGUGCCGACAGAGCGCCAAACACCGAGGGAUGUUCCUUGGAUGAUGACGCAGUGCAUACAGAGUAGUUUUAUUCCCUUCAGAGUUUGGAACCCCUCCCAACCAACGCCCGGCACUCGGCCUUUUGCACACCUGUGAGGCAGACACGUUUACCGGGCUCCAGCGCUGCGCAGCCCUCACACACGCAGCUGCCGAAGCCUCACGGCGUUCUUAGCGAGGUUGCAACUAUGUUUACAAAGCAAGGCAGCUGCCCACACACCUCGUGGAGUUGAUUCAGUAUCAACCGGCGGUAGCGCUCUCACCACGACGAGGGGAUGGUUACGAGCCAGGAACACCCGCUUCUCGCUAGCGCAAAGCGGUCCCUUCGGCUCACGAAGGGGGCGAGGAGUUUCCCUCGCGCUGCCCGCUCCCGAGGCGGCACUCCGCACAGCAGCCCCCGCUCUCUCUCUCCUUCCCGCCCCCGCGAGGCGCU
ensembl:lncRNA